rnacentral:misc_RNA from 1 species
UCCUCGUUUGAGCGAGGCAGUCUGUCCAGAGUGCUCUAAACUCUCGUUCGGAUUGCAACAGGACAUAAGGGUUGCGCUCGUUGAUGGACUUAACCAAACAUCUCACGACACGAGCUGACGACGGCCAUGCAUCACCUGUCACCGAAUUCCUUGCGGCACAAUUUCCUUUCGGAUAUCUUCUCGGGAUGUCAAACCCAGGUAAGGUUCUUCGCGUUGCCUCGAAUUAAACCACACGCUCCGCUGCUUGUGCGGGCCCCCGCCUAUUCCUUUGAGUUUUAACCUUGCGGCCGUAGUCCCCAGGCGGUGAACUUAAUGCGUUAGCUGCGGCACUGAUCGGGUCAAUCCGACCAACACCUAGUUCACAACGUUUAGGGCGUGGACUAC